AUCCCGGAUGUGGAAGUCUGGGUGUGAAGGUCUGCUAGGGUGAUCAACUAGAUAGCCAAUUGGCAAACGGUUUCAACUGCUAGACUACUCAUGAUCACGAUCUGGUCGAUCGGAGCUAUAGAUAUAGAGUUAUCUCUAUGCAGACUCUGUAGUAGGUUAUGGCAAUGUCUCAAGAAGUAAGAAUGAAAUGAAGUCAACAGCUGUAAUCAAGUGGACUGCGAUGAGUAUAACUUGUCAUAACUUGUCAUAAUCAUGUCAUACACAGAAUUUGCACUAACUUUGCAAUUGCUGUCUGUAUACAUUCAAAGUAUUGAUACUGGAUCAGAGUGAGGUUUUAUGAUGGGACGAGACGCAGACGUUAUGCUUUGUGGAGUAUGAAACCGCAGUGAUGCAUUGAUGGCUUACUGGAUCGAGUCCUAUGAGGAUUACUAUUUGUCCAAGUGCUUAUUUGCGAGUACACCUUGGGUUAUAUAGAGAGCUGUCCAUCGAGUAUUCAAGAGUUUAGUGGAGGAAGACGUAGAAAUUACUGGAUGGAACUUCAGACAAUGCUUUUCUUCUGAUGAGAAUAAAGUGUUGACAAACAAGAUCGUGGAAAAUGUCAGCAGUUUGAACCCCUCCUUUGACACUAGUGUGAUACGAG